rnacentral:tRNA from 1 species
UGGCUCAGUUGGUAGAGCAUGGCACUUGCAAUGACAAGCUUAUGGAUUUGAUUCCCAU